GGAGAGGAAAACACUUUCAAAUGACAAUUCUGGAGAAGAUGGGCCUGCAGGGGAAAGUCACCCCCUUGCAGGCCAGAAGACAUGAGAUAACUUUAAAGAAUACAAAGAUUGCAAGUAUCCAGGCUCAGGAGAGGGGGUCAGUGGGAAGCCCACUGCUGCUACUUGGCCCUGGUUUGCCCUCAUGGAUGAGGUA